GAUGAACGCUGGCGGCGUGCCUAAUACAUGCAGGUCGAGCGAACAGACGAGGAGCUUGCUCCUCUGACGUUAGCGGUGGACGGGUGAGUAACACGUGGAUAACCUACCUAUAAGACUGGGAUAACUUCGGGAAACCGGAGCUAAUACCGGAUAAUAUAUUGAACCGCAUGGUUCAAUAGUGAAAGACGGUUUUGCUGUCACUUAUAGAUGGAUCCGCGCCGCAUUAGCUAGUUGGUAAGGUAACGGCUUACCAAGGCAACGAUGCGUAGCCGACCUGAGAGGGUGAUCGGCCACACUGGAACUGAGACACGGUCCAGACUCCUACGGGAGGCAGCAGUAGGGAAUCUUCCGCAAUGGGCGAAAGCCUGACGGAGCAACGCCGCGUGAGUGAUGAAGGUCUUCGGAUCGUAAAACUCUGUUAUUAGGGAAGAACAAAUGUGUAAGUAACUAUGCACGUCUUGACGGUACCUAAUCAGAAAGCCACGGCUAACUACGUG
rnacentral:rRNA from 1 species